AACCCACCACAGGUAUUGGAUCACCCUGAUCCAAAAGUGGUGUUUUAACCCGCGCGAGAUAGGCCUAACGGUGUCUCGCGCCGGAAUUUUUAAAAAAUACUUAAAUGACCCCUACGACGUUCAUUUUUUUUAUCGGAAAGAUCAAGAACAAGACUUUAUCUUUCUGAAUUUUAAUUUGUAAAAAGUAUAGUGGUUAUAUGGGGAAAUGGAUCAAUCACAAAUAUUGGAUCACCCCCCACAUGUGCUGCAUUCGUUGUCCCUACCCGCGGCUAUGCCGCCGGGUAUGGGAGAGGGUGGAGGGGUGAAAAAGGGACCUCCUCAUUUUAACGACGAUUAUCUCUUUUAAGUGCCACUAGAGGCGCUUGAUUACUCUUUUUCUGUCACCAUCACAAGCAGACUAUUCCUGACUGUAUUGUUGUUUGUUUCCUCGAUUCGCUCUCAUUUCAAGCUUUGUGAAUAGAAAUAGUUGGGAUUAUUCAUUCUGAGCUGGGAAAAAUCUGAUUGAUUUUGAUAUCACAAGAACGGUUACUGGUAAAAGUGUUAGCCAGAACCCAUUAUUUUUACGAGUGUAAGAAGAAUGGCCAAGUGGAUUUUCCUAGAUGAUGGUGUUACAGCCAUCCAUGAUGAGACAGGGGAAGUGUACAAGUUCGAGCCAACAGUAAAAUGCAAUGGGCAAGGGCAGGCUACUCAAAAUGUAACGAAUGACUCUUACAACUUGAAAGCGAAGCAGGAGAAGCCUUUGGUUACAAAUACUGUGAAGUCUGUCACUUCAGAUCCUGCCAAAAAAUAAAUUAAGCUAAUUUCAAAAUUUA